ACCAUGUCUGCUUUUUAUUCAAUAAUAAUAAUACAAAGAUGACUGAUCCAAACAAUUUUAAGCUCAAACACAAUGUUAUAAGGUAAGAUAAGAACUAAUGUCACAAUAUUACAGGUAAAUCGUUUUUUUUCUUCCUGUUUUUCAAUUUUUAUCACUAUAAUAUUUUCUAUUCCAAAUCUUUAAGAUCCUCAUCCAUUGGUAUGGUAUAGAAGAAGUGUUCAAUUUGCUCGACUGCAUUAUCCUCGCCCUGUGUCUUGUUUCCUCUCUUUAUUGGAGCUAGGCUCUCCUUGUAAUUGAAAACCCAACAGCCAGCAAUGUUAAGGUCCAGCUGAAAUCCAAGAUCUGUAACUUGUCUUGUUGUAGGGUCAUAUAGCACCAGCUGUGAAGUUUCUGUGAUCUCAAAAACCAUGUUAUCGUUAUCCCAGAUGUUGCGAGGCCAAUGAGCAUCUAUAUGAGGUUGUACAGUUAGAACUUUGGACCAAAUUCCCUCUUGUUCAUACCCACACAUCAUAUAUGGAUGUCAUAGGUUUGCCAGGGUCACCGGUUAAUAAAGCAAGUGAGUUGCCACGCAAUGUAAGCGUCCCCCAAUGUUCACUUGGAAUAUCUGGGACUUGCAUCUCCCUAAACUGUUCGCUGCCCAUGUCAAAAGAGCGAAUCGUGUAGAUCUCAUCAAGGCCCCUAGAAAGCCAAUAAUAAACCCCGUUGAGAUAAGUGGCAUCAAGGGGUGCAGAUAAGGUAGAACUGGAAGGGAAUUCAGGAGUUAGGUGUUUCCAUGAGUUGUUGCAUGAGGAAUAAACACAGGCAUAGACACGAGGACAAACACCUUGUCCCGGUUCAUCCCAGAAUACUCGAAUCCAUACAACCUUAUAAUCUUGAGUCAACAGGUCAAAUCCCAAUCCGAACUGAUGAUCAUGGUCCGAGAAAAAGUACUCAAUCUCAAAAGGCGCAGGCGGCAGAGACCUGAACUCUCUGGUGGCAGGAUUCCACAAACCCAAGCAGACAUUGUCUCCAUAAAACUUCUUCUGCACUAAGAAUAAGCCAUCAACUGGACCAGCAACACACGUGAAAUCAGCGACCCUCGGAAGCUGAAGGAGAGUUUUUUGUUCAGGGGUCACACCUGGAACAAUUUCUUCAGGGAGCAAGGAGAAUACAACAGACCUUACGAUGGCGUCUACUUCACGUGCUACUUUCAAGUUGCAAACAAGGAGACGGGCACGAUUGUUCUUGUGAUGAAAAUGUUUUUCUAUGAAACUCGGACUUUUGAUGAGAGCAUACCAGUGCUUGCACACACAUUUGAAAAGCAAGAGUGAUUCCACUGGCAAUCUCAAUAGAAUAUCAACUACUAGAUCUUCUGGUAAAGGACAGCGACCAUCCAUACUGGUGGAAAUAUAAGUAGAAUGAGGCAACUUACAAACAUAUUGAAAGAGAGCAGAUCUAGAAAACAUGCAUUAAUAGAACACACAGUGCAACAAAAAAGAUCAAGUAGUAGCAUUACCAUGUGAAGCAAAAAAGGGGAAGUUACAAAUUUGACCACUCAGCCACAAAUAUUUACAUCCGCAAGCCAUUACACAUAUAUUAUGGGUAUACAUAUUUUUAAAAAUAUUUUGACAAAUCUUCUUGUAGAUCAAUUUUGGAGAAAAGAUCCAAAAUAGUUCCUUAUGUUUGGCUUCAGACUCAAGGUCAUCCCUUCCCUUUCUUUUAUAUGGUGCACUAAUAGUCCUUUAAGUUUCAAGUAUUAGUGCACUUUUAAUCUCUUCAUUAACAUCCAUUUACUCAUUAACGUUUUGAUCCUUUACACAUCCAUUUAUGGCCUCCGCUGUAUACGUUCUGGUAUAACACAAAUUAAUUCUUAGAUUUAUCUUAGCAGUUGCAGAUGAGUCUUCAUUUGUACUUGUUUUAUUUUUUGGCUCUGCAUCUUUCAUUGUUUGGUGUGCACCAUUCAAGAUUUGCUAAUUCUUUAACUUUCUCCUCUAUUUUCCAUACGCAAUUAAUAAGCUGACUAUAAGUCUUUGGGUUUUCCUGAAUAAAAGCUGACUAUAUAUCUGAAACAUAACCAAAGAAUAAAAUAAAAACAAGAAAAAAGGAAAAAUAUAAUACAUACUUAGUCUUCGUGUAUCAAUAUCUCAAAUUAGCAUCGGAUAAAAGUGCACUAAUACUUAAAACUUUGGAGGACUAUUAGUGCACCAAUUGAUGAUUUCGAAUCUAAAGCCAAAAAUAAAGGACUAUCUUGUAUUUUUUCUUUCGAUUUGGGCUGAUAUGGUUUGGACGGAUCAAUAAUCAGCCAAAUAGAGUCAAUAAGAGGAGACUAGUAAAGAAGUAGUCAUGCGGUUUUCUAGUCUUUUCAUUAACUAGUCAAUAAUUAUUUUUAAAGCUACAUAUCAAGUUAGCAUAUAGAGCAAUUUUGCAGGUAAUUUAAGGAUUAAGGAGCAUGAAACAGUAAUUACCCUUUUCUACUAAUAUCAAUCUACAAAUCCUUGGAAAUGGAACAAUUUUAACUUGCCCAAUAUUGAAAUGUAAAAGAUGGAAAGAAAUAAAAAGAAUUAGCAUAAACAGAAACAAUGACAGCAAAACCCUAUAUCCAUCCCCAAAUAGCACAAAUUCAGAUUCAGAUUCAGAUUCAAAUUCAAAAAAAUAAUCAGAAAUCUAACCUUAUAAGCUGAUGAAGAAGAAGUGCCGCAAUUACGACAAGGUAAAAAUGGAAAAAGAGAUUGGAUUGAUUGAGUGGUGUUGUAGAAAUACCUCCAACAGUUGACUACUUCCUCACUUUCCUACACUUCUUUUGUCAUUUUAGUUUAUAUAACUCCCCUUAAUUCCUUUUAUCCAAGUUUUUAAUACCAAGGGAUAUGAUGGAGUAAUAAGUACUUAUUCAUUGUUAAUUAGAGGUCUUGGAUUUGAAUCUUUUGGCUAUGAAGUCAUCCGUGUUAGGGAGCACUUUACCCAUAAUGUGAGAUUUUUCGACUGGGCUCUAAUAUGGAUACCGAACAUUGAGCGAUUUUUCUUUUUUUACCUUAGUGGUCAUUUGGUAGGUGGAUAAAGCUACAUCUAAUACAUGAAUCACUACAAGAAAAGUGCUGAUUACCUGGGAAUUAUUGUAGAGAAUAUAUGAUAACCCUAAUGGGUGGAGGGAGGACCAAUUUAUAGAGGUUAUGAUUUAAUCUGGUAUAUCCAUCAAGUAACCAAUGUACGGACGAGAUCUAUUCCUUAUUAAAUAUUAUUUAUGGUAUUACUUGCGUUACUAGUAAACUUGAGCCAUAAGUAAGAAAUAAUUAAUAAUAAUUAAUAAUAAUUCUUACACUUCGGGGUGCCUUCGCCAUAGUUCAAGUCUGGAGUCGGCCAUUUCAGUUCUUGAAAGCUUUUAAUCUAGCUAGUGUUAUUCAUAGUACUUCCGUGUACUUAUCGACCUUAUGUGAGUCCAAACUCGUUUGAGUUAUACAUUUACUUUCUAAUUGUGCACGAGUAUACAUACUUUCUAGGCUUAUAGAGGUCCAGUUAGGUUAUAGAUUAUUGCUUUACUUUACUACUUCGUUCUUUUCAGACUCGUGAGCUAUAUAGUUAGACUUUCCGUUAUUGCUUUGUUCAUUUGACCUCUAAUUACUGUUACUUUCAUAUUCUUCAUAUUGUUUUUACUUUCCAAGUUCAGUUGACCUAUGAUGCCUACUGGACACCUGUUGUUCUGAUAUUCAUGCUACACUCCACAUCUGUUUUCUUGAUGUGGAUUUGAGCGCCAGCCGACAACGGUGAUUGGAGCCUAAGUAAUGCGGAGAUCUUCUGAGAUGAAUGGUGAGCUAAUGGCGUCCUAGUUCGACUUAUCUCCAUAUGUAUAUAAUUUUUUACAUGUCUUUUGUAUUCGAGACAAAUUUAUUAAGUUAGUCAAUAGCAUAGGCUCGAAACUAUGACUAGAACAUUGAGUGCAUGACAUGCACAUCUUACUCCUUACUUUCCUUAUUCGUGCCUGUUUUUUUCAUACUUUCUAACUUUCACUAGUACAUUAUCCCUUGUUAAGGAAAAUUAUGUAAACAAAAUAGUAAAUGGCCUGAUCCACUUAAGAGUGAGGGCUAGUUCAUUGAUUGAUACAGCUAAAUCACAUUAAAUAAUAAAUACGGAGGAGGGCCUAAAAUACCCUUCAAGUAUAGGUAAUGGAACAAAAAUACCCUCUUCCACCUUUAGGCUCCAAAAUACCCUUCCAUCCAUCUAUAUGGACCUAUAUUACCCUUUCACUUAACAGAUUCUUUAAGACUAAUAAUUAAUCUUUUCAUUAAUGAUGUGACAGUCUUUAAUUGGUUGAAAUUGGAAUUAACCAAAAUAAGAAUUUCUCUUAAUUAAACCCAGAUCCAACUAAAUUCCACCCGACUCACUUAAAAUUCUAUUGACCCAUAUCUUAAAUAAUCAAACUUCAAUCAACAACUUGCUCCAGUUAUUUUUAAUCCCAGUCAAAAAAGAGGUACAUUAGACCAUAAACAACAUGAAACUUCCGAAAAUUCCCUGGAAACAUUCCAAGAAGGAAGAAGUGAAAUACAAGAUCAAGUGCCACUAUAAUCAUAUACCAAUAUACACCAUAUUUUGAAACACUAUGAAAAGUCCAGCAAAUCUCCAAUCUCUGGGAAACAUAAACUCAAAGCGGUAAAAUUUCUCAAAAUCCGAAACCCUAGAGUUCAAAAAUUAUUUCACUUCUUUCUUUUUUGCGAUUCAUAUAAAGCACCGCACGCAAAAAGCAAAACCAACAUAAUUUUGGGAAAUUCUCAAAGCAGAAUCAUGGAAUAGAAUAUAAAAAAAAAAUAAAAAAUUUAGCCAUAGCAAGAGAUUAUAUACUUGAUGAAGAAAAGCGAUAGAUAUCGCUUUUCUUCAUCUGCAAAUUUUACGAGAAAAUUAUAUGGAGAGAAAUUCAGUGUACAGAGAAAAAAAAGGAAACUCACCGCUACACACUCGAUUCUUCUUGUUUUUUUUUAAAGAUAUGGGUCAGUAAAAUUUUACGUGGGUUGGGUAGAGUUUAGUUGGAUCCGGGUUUGAUUUGGAGAAAUUAUUGUUUUUGCUUAAUCUAAAUUCCAGCCAAUUAAAGAUUGUCACAUCAUUAAUGAAAAGAUUAAUUAUUACUCAUAAAAAAUCUGUUAAGUGAAAGGGUAAUAUAGGUCCAUAUAGAUGGAUGAAAGGGUAUUUUUGAGCCCAAAGGUGGAUGGAGGGUAUUUUUGUUCCAUUCCCUAUACUUGAAGGGUAUGUUAGGCCCUUCUCCGUAAUAUAUAUUACAUUUUUGAACUGUUAAACUAGAAACAAGAUUUAGGAUUUUUCAAGUGGACCAAAAUACAGAUAUUGAUGCCGAGUACUUAAAGUCUGUUGCUUGCCGAUACUCUAAAAGUAGUAGUGUAUUUUUGGAGAAUCUAACAUGAGUGGAGAGUACACGCGCAACUUAGCUUAAAUUGUGUUGGUCCAAAAGGAAUGCCCCUUGAUACCAUAAACAAAAAAUACCAUGUCAGCUUUUUAUUCAAUAAUAGUACAAAGAUGACUGAUCCAAACAAUUUUAAGCUCAAACACAAUGUUAUAAGAAGACAAGAUACGAACUAAUGUCACAAUAUUACAGGUAAAUCGUUUUUUUUUCUUCCUGUUUUUCAAUUAUUAUCAUUAUAGUAUUUUGUAUUCCAAAUCUUAACGAUACUCAUCCAUUGGUAUGGUAUAGAAGAAGUGUUCAAUUUGCUCGACCUCGCCCUGUGUCUCGUUUCCUCUCUUUAUUGGAGCUAGGCUCUCCUUGUAAUUGAAAACCCAACAGCCAGCAAUGUUAAGGUCCAGGUGAAAUCCAAGAUCUGUAACUUGUCUUGUUUUAGGGUCAUAUCGCACCAGCUGUGAAGUUUCUGUGAUCUCGAAAACCAUCUUAUCAUUAUCCAAGAUGUUGCGAGGCCAAUGAGCAUCUAUAUGAGGUUGUACAGUUAGAACUUUGGACCAAUUUCUGUCUUGUUUCAUUACCCACACAUCGUAUAUGGAUGUCAUUGGUUUACCAGGGUCUCCGGUUAACAUAGCAAGUGAGCCGCCAUGCAAUGUAAGUGUCCCCCAAUGUUCACUUGGAAUAUCUGGGACUUGCAUCUCCCCAAACUGUUCGCUGCCCAUGUCAAAAGAGCGAAUCGUGUAGAUCUCAUCAAGGCCCCUACAAAGCCAAUAAUAAACCCCGUUGAGAUAAGUGGCGUCAAGGGGUGCAGAUAAGGUAGAACUGGGAGGGAAUUCAGGAGUAAGGUAUUUCCAUGAAUUGUUGCAUGAGGAAUAGACACAGGCAUAGACACGAUUAUUAGCACCUUGUCCCAGUUCAUCCCAGAACACUCGAAUCCAUACAACCUUAUAAUCUAGAGUCAACAGGUCAAAUCCCAAUCCGAACUGAUGAUCAUGGUCCGAGAAAAAGUACUCAAUCACAAAAGGCGCAGGAGGCAGAGACCUGAACUCUCUGGUGGCAGGAUUCCACAAACCCAAGCAGACAUUGUAUCCAUAAAACUUCUUCUGCACUAAGAAUAAGCCAUUAACUGGACCAGCAACACACGUGAAAUCAGUGAUCCGAAGCUGAAGGAGAGUUUUUUGUUCAGGGGUCACACCUGGAACAAUUUCUUCAGGGAGCAAGGAGAAUACAACAGACCUUACGAUGGGGUGUACACGUGCUACUUUCAAGAUGCAAACAAGGAGGCGGGCACAAUUAUUCUUGUGAUGAAAAUGUUUUUCUAUGAAACUCGGACUUUUGAUGAGAGCAUACCAGUGCUUGCACACACAUUUGAAACGCAAGAGUGAUUCCACUGGCAAUCUCAAUAGAAUAUCAACUACUAGAUCUUCUGGUAAAGGACGGCGACCAUCCAUACUGGUGGAAAUAUAAGUAGAAUGAGGCAACUUACAAACAUAUUGAAAUAGAAUAGAUCUAGAAAACAUGCAUUAAUAGAACACACAGUGCAACGAAGAAGAUCAAGCAGCAGCAUUACCAAUGUGAAGCAAAAAAGGGGAAGUUACACAUUUGACCACUCGGCCACAAAUAUUUAUAUCCGCAAGCCAAUACACAUAUUAUGGGUAAACAUAUUUUUAAAAAUAUUUUGACAAAAUUUCUUGUAGAUCAAUUUGGGAGAAAAGAUCCAAAAUAGUUCUUUAUGUUUGGCUUCAGACUCAAAGUCAUCCCUUCCCUUUCUUUUAUAUGGUGCACUAAUAGUCCUUUAAGUUUCAAGUGUUAGUGCACUUCUAGUCUCUUGAUUAACAUCCAUUUACUCAUUAACGUUUUGAUCCUUUACACAUCCAUUUAUGGCCUCCGCUGUAUACAUUCUGGUACAAAACAAAUUAAUUCUUAGAUUUAUCUUAGCAAUUGCAGAUGAGUCUUCAUUUGUACUUCGUUUUAUAUUUUGGCUCUGCAUCUUUCAUUGUUUGGUGUGCAGUAUUCAAGAUUUGCUAAUUCUUUAACUUUCUCCUUUAUUUUCGAUACACAAUUAAUAAGCUGACUAAGUCUUUGGGUUUUUCCUGAAUAAAAGUUUCUUGCGCUUUGCCUAUAUAUCUGGAGCAUAACCAAAGAAUAAAUAAAAACAAGAAAAAAGGAAAAAUAUAAUACAUACUUAGUCUUCGUGUAUCAAUAUCUCAAAUUAGCAUCGGAUAAAGGGUGUGUUCCGUAGAAAAUAGUUUCUAAUCAAAAUUUUUGGAAAAGAUUUUCUUAGGAAAACAAGUUCCAUACGUGACACUUCAAAAUUCAAAUGAAGAAAAUGACUUUCUAAAGGAAGUAGGGAAAACAAGUUUCAUAUGUGACAUUUCAAUUGAGUAUGUCCUCCCACUCUCUAAGACACCACAUAUUCACCUCACUCCCGUAGCUUCCAUACCCACUACCCUACACAUCUACCCCACCUCCGUCCCUCAUAGUAUUGUCUAGAUAAUACAUAAAUGCUUUUAGAAUAAUAUUAAAUUUUUUUUGCUUAUAUACCAAACACAAAAUAUACAUAAGAAUCUCACUUAUUUUCCUAGAAAAUAUUUUUCAAAAAAUAUUUUCCUUGGUACCGUACACACCCAAAGUUCCAAUGUCCUCGGAUAAUAUCAGCCAAAUAGAGUCAAUAAGAGGAGACUAGUAAAGAAGUAGUCAUGUGGUUUUCUAGUCUUUUCAUUAACUAGUCAAUAAUUAUUUUUGAGCUACAAAUCAAAUUAGCAUAUAGAGCAAUUUUGCAGGUAAUUUAAGGAGCAUGAAACAGUAAAUACCCUUUUCUGCUAAUAUCAAUCUACAAAUCCUUGGAAAUGGAACAAUUUUAACUUACCCAAUAUUGAAAUGUAAAAGAUGGAAAGAAGUAAAAAGAAUUAGCAUAAACAGAAACAAUGGCAGCAAAACCCUAUAUCCAUCCCCAAACAGCACAAAUUCAGAUUCAGAUUCAAAUUCAAAAUAAUAAUCAGAAAUCUAACCUUAUAAGCUGAUGAAGAAGAAGUGGCGGACAAGGAAAAAAUGGAAAAAGAGAUAUCGGAUCGAUUGAUUGGUGUUGUAGAAAUACCUCAACAGUUGACUACUUCCUCACACUUCUUUCGUCAUUUUAUUUUACUACUUCUUGGGAACGCGUUUGUUCCUCUCCUUUUUUUUUCUCGCGUGUGUUCCUUAUUAUUAUUAAAUUUUUAUAUACUAAAAAGUUGAGUUAUAAAAUAGAAAAUGCUGAAAUUAACAAUAGUAGUUUUAUCAUUUAUAUUUUAUUUACUAAAUAAUAAAAAAUAUAUACUGGAGCAUUUUUUGUUAACCUUCAUUUGUUGUUUCUCACUCUCUUUUCUUCUCAUGUUGAAAUUUGAUUGUGCAAUUACCUUCCUAUGAUAACAUCAAUCUUUGUGAAAUUGGUUCUUAAAAAGCAAAUUCAAAUUUUAAUUUUGGAAGUGUUUUUACAUAAUAGUGGAGAAUGAUUCUUCAUAUUCAACUUUUAAUUUUGAAUUGUAAUGAACAAUUACUAUUCAAAUACAAAUCUAGUUUAUUUUUAACCUUACAUUUAUUGAAUCUUUAAUGUGUACGUUAAUGAUAUAUAAUAAUUUAUUAAUUAGGUAUUUGAUUUAGUGUAGGGGCAAAAUGGUAAUUCAACUAUACACUUUCGAGUUUUCACUUUUAAUAAGUAAUUAUAAUAUAUACAAAAGAUUAAACCAUUUGAUAUUAAAAAAAUAUAUGUAUGAGUAAUAAUUAACAUUCAAUGGCAAAAGAAUGUAUCACAUUCUCAUAAACAAUAUCUCUAAGGCAAAAGUAGACAUUCUAAUUUGGACAAUUACUACUUAACUACUUAUGGGUUCAGCCAAUAAUCUGGAGAUAGGAGUUUGACAAUUUUUCAGCCAUAGUUAAAAUUCUACAUCAAUAAUAAAUAGCUUCUUAUCACAGUAAAUAGACAUUUGAAUAAUUAAUAUAAAUUGAGCAACACAAACUUUUCAAAAUGACUUAUUCUAGAUAUAUAAUAGGGAAAAGGGUCAAAAUUACCCCUCAGUUUUGUUUUAUUGGUUAACUUUAUCCUUACCAUUAAAAACAAGUUAUUUUUACCCCUGUCGUCAAUAAACUUAACAAAUAUACCCCUCCUUGAACGGAAACCCCCAAAUCAAUUGAAAUUACCCGAUUUUAAUUGAAAUUAUCCAAUUUCUUUUUUAACCCGAACUAGAACCCAACCCACUAAACUAAACAAAUUAACCCAUUUCCAAUCUUCUUCAUCUCAGUGUUCUUGGCUAAGUACCCUAAGAACACUCACAAUCUUUAUCAUAGCUAACACAUAAAUCCUACAUUGUCUGACAAAAUCAAUUGAAAAGGUUCGUUGGUUGAAUGUAUAACAAGUAAAUUAUUUUUGCUGAACAACAUCCCGCCUCUCUCUGUUGUGGGGUUCAGCGAAGAACAAGCCACAGAGCAAGUAAAUGGAAAAGUUUCAAUUUACACAUCAUCAUUCAAUCCAAUGAAGAAAACCAUUUCUAGGUACCAACCAAAUUACUUUUUGAUUUGUUGUCAGUAGGCUGCCCCUAAAUGUGUACCCAAUAGUACAUCUAAUUCUUCUUUACCUGGCUCGUAAAUCAAUUCAGUGGCCCUCCAUGAUUCUUGUAUGUGCACGUAAAAUUAAGCUACAAUGGAGGGGAGGUUUUUCUUUUCUCUAUCUUUUUAUUUGUUCAAAAUGUUUCCAAUAUAUCAUCAUAUUUGAUGAGUACUGGAUAUUUGAUGAUUACUGAUUUCUUGUAUGUAGCAAAUCAUGUGAUUGAACGACUGCAGUGUUUAGCCUAGGCAACCUUCAACAAACAAUUUGGAGAUAAAUAUCAGGUCUUUUCGAUUGAUUUUGUUAGACAAUGUAGAAUUUGUGUUAGCUAUGAUAAAGAUUGUGAGUGUUCUUAGGGUACUUAGCCAUGAACACUGAGAUGAAGAAGAUUGGAAAUGGGUUUAUUUGUUUAGUUUAGUGGGUUGGGUUCUGGUUCAGGUUAAAAAAGAAAUUGGAUAAUUUCAAUUAAAAUUGAAUAAUUUCAAUUGAUUUGGGGAUUUCCGUCCAAGGAGGGAUAUAUUUGUUAAGUUUAUUGACGGCAGGGGUAAAAAUAACUUGCUUUUAACGGUAAGAGUAAAAUCAACCAAUAAAAUAAAGUUGAUGGGUAAUUUUGACCCUUUUCUCUAUAUAACAUAUAUGGACAAUUUGAGGAAUGAAUGUUUCAACACAUGAAUAAUAGACUAAUAAGGUCAAUAGAUUAUACAUAUAAAUGAAAAGUUAAAUAAAAAUACAGCCUCAAAAUCACAUACUAUGAUCCAUCAUUUAUCUCCAAUUCGGUGGCCCAGUUUAUUUUAGGGUAUGGAUUCUUUUAUUUUUAAAAAAAAAACAUAUUUGAUUUUUCUCAUUUAGUUAUUCCUCUCCCUACUCAUAAAUAAUAAUCUCGAAAAAAUAUUUUUACUAAAGUAGAACACUCUAUCAAGAGCCAAAUAAACAUAUCAAAUUAACUAAUUAAUCUUUCAUCAAUUAUUGAUAGAACAUGAAUUGUAUAUCACUACUUUCUUCAUGUAGGAUACAAGAUAUUUCAAUAGAAAAACAAAAUCAUAAGAAAGCAUAUCAAAAUAUAAAAAAAGGACAUAUAAAAUACUUUGGCUGGACAAGGAGGAGCGGAUAAAAACAAAAGGAAAUUACUGCACAUACAAAAUGAUGAGCAAGAUUAGUUUUUUGCAGGAUAGUCUCUCAUCCUCCUCUUAUCAUUUACAUGAAAACCAUGCUAGGCAUUUUAUAGCAAUAGCUAGGAUGACCUUUGAGUAGAUAAUUAAUUUGCAUUAAUUUAGUUUAAUGAUUUUAGUCCAUAUCAAAUUUAUUUAAUGGAAAACUCUUCAAAUACUCUUGAUUUUACAGAAAAAGAGAAAUUGACUAUUAAUGUGAAUUUGAUUCAUGUACCAAUUUAAAUGAGUUUAAUCUAAGGAAGUGAAAAAAUCAUUAACAUUUUUAUUAAAACGAUACAAUUUAAUAUUUAAAUUAAAUAGUUAAAUAUUUUAUAACAUUUUAAUUUAUAAUAGGGGUAAAACGGUAAUUCAACUUUUAACUUUUUUUAUUCCCGCUUAUAGUAAUAUAUGAUACAACUCCUCUUAAUUCCUUUUAUCUAAGUUUUUAAUUAUGUGGUGGAGUAAUAAGUACUUAUUCAUUCUUAAUUAGAGGUUCCAGUUUGAGUCUUUUUGGCUAUAAAAUCAUCUCUGUUAGAGCGCUUUACCCAUAAUCUAAGAUUUUUCGACACAAAUUCAAAUUUAGUGAGGCUCUAAUAUGGAUAUCGAACACUGAGGGGAAAAUAAAAAUAAAAAUUACCUUAGGGGUUAUUUGGUAGGUGGAUAAAGCUACAUCUAAUACAUGAAUAACAAAGUUAUUUAUGUAUUUAAUUUAUAUAAUGUUUGUAUAAAAGUUAUUCAUAUAUUAACAAAGAUGUUUCUCUCUACGAUAUGUUCCCACAGGAGAAAGAGUUUGUUACUUGAAGAGGGGGGGGGGGGAUGUUGNNNNNNNNNNNNNNNNNNNNNNNNNNNNNNNNNNNNNNNNNNNNNNNNNNNNNNNNNNNNNNNNNNNNNNNNNNNNNNNNNNNNNNNNNNGAAGGGGGGGGGGGGGUAUUUGGAGUCUUUUAGCCACAGUUCGAAGCCCUGACAUAUCGAUCUCUUUUAGCCACGGUUCAAGGUCCCAACGUAUUUUGUUUUGCCACGGUUCAAGGUCCCGACGUAUUUUAUUUUGCCACGGUUCGAGGCCCCAUCAUAUCUCUAUUCGCCUUGGUUCGAAUCCUAACAUGUGGUUCAUUUGGGUUCUUCGGGGUGCCUUCACCAAAGUUCAAGUCUAGAGUCAGCCAUUUUAAGUUCUUGAAAGCUUUUAAUAUAACUAGUGUUAUUCAUAGUACUUCUGUGUACUUAUCAGGCUUAUGUGAGUCCAAACUCGUUUGAGUUAUUUACUUUCCAAUUGCGCACAGGUAUACAUACUUUCUGGGCUUAUAGGGGUCCAGUUAGGUUAUAGAUAAUUGUUUUACUUUACUACUUUGUUCUUUCCAGACUCGUGAGCUAUAUAGUUAGACUUUCCGUUAUUACUUUGUUCAUUUGACCUCUAAUUACCGUUACAUUCAUAUUUUUCAUAUUGUUUUUACUUUCCAUGCCCAGUCGACCUAUGAUGCUACUGGGCACCUGUUGUUUUGAUAUUAUGCUACACUCCACAUCUGUUUUCUUGAUGUAGAUUUGAGCGCCAGCUGAUAAUGGUGAUUCGAGCCUAAGAAAUGCGGAGAUCUUCUGAGAUGAAGGGUGAGCUGAUGGCAUCCUAGUUCGACUUAUCUCCAUAUGUAUAUAGUUUUUUAAUGUCUUUUGUAUUCGAGACAAGUCUAUUAAGUUAGUGAAUAGCAUAGGCUCGAAACUAUGACUAGAACAUUGAGUGCAUGACAUGCACAUCUUACUCCUUAUUUUCCCUAUUCGUACCUGUUUUUUUCAUACUUUCUAACUUCACUGGUACAUUAUUCCUUGUUAAGGAAAAUUAUGUAAACAACUAGUUCUUUGAUUGAUACAACUAAUUCACAUUAAAUAAUAACUAGAAUCUUAUUACAUUUUUGAACUGUUAAACUAGAAACAAGAUUUAGGAUAAGGGAACUAUUUAUUAACUUCACUUCUCCUUAUUAGUGUCAAAAGUUUCUCGUUUAGGAAAUAUGAAGUUUUGAAGGACUAAUAGUAUAUUAUCCUUUUUUAAAAUUGAACUCUAUCCAAUGGUUGAUUCUAUUUAUGAAUCAAUUCCUUAGGUGCAUUAUUUCCAUAGGUUUCAACAUUGGUAACAAAAUCUAGCUUUCUCGCUUAAAUUGACAUAUUUCUAUACUUCCCUCAUCUUAUCUAUCACUGAGGCCGCUCCCAUCUUAUCCCUUAUAUCCUUAUUUAUAAUUUUUAUCGCUCCGAGUAUGAACGUGCAUCCACCUCAAUAUAUAUUCACAUCUCUGCAACAUGCAUCUUCUAGACAUGGGACUUGACUGGCCAACUCUCAUUUCCAUACAACAAUUACAUACACACUCUAUAUAAAUACACACAUACAUAUAUUGAUGGAAAAAUCAUCAACAGAUGAAACUUAAGCAAUACUCCCUCCAUCUCAAUUAAUGUGACAGUCGGAAUUUUGUCUUUUAAAUUGUUAAUUAUUGUGAUUUACCAUUUUUCACAUAAUUUUCAAAUACAUAAAUUUUAUAUCAAAAAAACUUAAAGUUUCUGUAUCCGAAUUUACUAUUAAAUUAUAGAAGUUUGAAUCUCAAAAUUUCAACUAAUGCCACAUAAAUUAAAUCAACUCCAACACUCAGAAAAGCUACAAAAGUUCAAACAUAGAAAGUAAAAAAAAAUUUAAAAAAGAAAUAGAAAAAACCUUGAGAUAAUAUGUCUUGCUAAUUUCCUCUUCAGAUGCUAAUUAAAGGACUUACACCAAGAACAUCAUAAUACUCUGUGUCUUUCACCAUUUUCUUUUCUUUUUCCAAAAUCCCUAUUAACAAAAAAUUUACUCUUUUACCUCCUCCAAUACUCUAAUUACCUUUUUUUUCGCGCUUCUAAAAUCUUAAUACAAGAGCGAAAAACCACUUGAGUGUAAGGAAAGGAAACAAGCCAAACGAAAAAAAAAAAAAAAACUCUCAAAAUUAUAUGAUCAAGAAAACUUGCAAGUACAAAAGGAGAAAGAGGAGGGGGUGGGUGGGGUAUGAUGAAAAGAAUGUCUCAGAAUAAGAGAGUGCCCCAACGAGACAAAGCUGCCUUUCCAGUUCUGAUCAACAAAUUAAUUACGGAAAAUCUGUUGCUUGUCGAUACUCUAAAAGCAGUGUAUUUUUGGAAUUAAGAGGAGUUGUAUAAACUAAAAUGACAAAAGAAGUGUAGGAAAGUGAGGAAGUAGUCAACUGUUGAGGUAUUUCAACAACACCACUCAAUCAAUCCAAUAUCUCUUUUUCCAUUUUUACCUUGUCGUAAUUGCGGCACUUCUUCUUCAUCAGCUUAUAAGGUUAGAUUUCUGAUUAUUUUUUUGAAUCUGAAUCUGAAUCUGAAUUUGUGCUAUUUGGGGAUGGAUAUAGGGUUUUGCUGCCAUUGUUUCUGUUUAUGCUAAUUUUUUUUAUUUCUUUCCAUCUUUUACAUUUCAAUAUUGGGUAAGUUAAAAUUGUUUCUUUUCCAAGGAUUUGUAUAUUGAUAUUAGUAGAAAAGGGUAAUUACUGUUUCAUGCUCCUUAAAUUACCUGCAAAAUUGUUCUAUAUGCUAACUUGAUAUGUAGCUCAAAAAUACCUAUUGACUAGUUAAUGAAAAGUCUAGAAAACCACAUGACUACUUCUUUACUAGUCUCCUCUUAUUGACUCUAUUUGGCUGAUUAUUGAUCCGUCCAACCCAUUUCAACCCAAAUCGAAAGAAAAAAUCCAAGAUAGUCCUUUAUUUUUGGCUUUAGAUUCGAAAUCAUCAAUUGAUGCACUAAUAGUCCUCCAAAGUUUUAAGUAUUAGUGCACUUUUAUCUGAUGCUAAUUUGAGAUAUUGAUACACGAAGACUAAGUAUGUAUUAUAUUUUUCCUUUUUUCUUGUUUUUAUUUUAUUCUUUGGUUAUGCUCCAGAUAUAUAGGCAAAGCACAAGAAACUUUUAUUCCGGAAAAACCCAAAGACUUAUAGUCAGCUUAUUAAUUGCUUAUGGAAAAUAGAAGAGAAAGUUAAAGAAUUAGCAAAUUUUGAAUGGUGCACACCAAACAUUGAAGAUGCAGAGCCAAAAAAUAAAACAAGUACAAAUGAAGACUCAUCUGCAAUUGCUAAGAUAAAUCUAACAAUUAAUAUGUUUUGUACCAGAACGUAGACAGUGGAGGUUAUAAAUGGGUGUGUAAAGGAUCAAAACGUUAAUGAGUAAAUGGAUGUUAAUGAAGAGACUAAAAAUGCACUGACACUUGAAACUUAAAGAACUAUUAGUGCACUAUAUAAAAGAAAGGGAAGGGAUGACUUUGAGUCUGAAGCCAAACAUAAGGAACUAUUUUGAAUCUUUUCCAAACAAUGUUAAGCUCAAACACAAUGUUAUAAAAAGGUAAGAUAAGAACUAAUGUCACAAUAUUACAGGUAAAUCGUUUUUUUUUCCUGUUUUUCAAUUUUUAUCACUAUAAUAUUCUGUAUGUCAAACUCUAAGAUCCUCAUCCAUUGGUAUGGUAUAGAAGUAGUGUUCAAUUUGCUCGACUGCAUUAUCCUCACCCUGAGUCUCGUUUCCUCUCUUUAUUGGAACUAGGCUCUCCUUGUAAUUGAAAACCCAACAGCCAGAAAAGAUAAGGUCCAGCUGAAAUCCAAGAUCUGUAACUUGUCUUGUUUCAGGGUUAUAUAGCACUAGCUGUGAAGUUUCUGUGAUCUCGAAAACCAUCUUAUCGUUAUCCCAGAUGUUGUAAGGCCAAUGAGCAUCUAUAUGAGGUUGAAGAGUAAGAACUUUGGACCAAUUUCCCCCUUGUUUCAUUACCCACACAUCGUAUAUGGAUGUCAUUGGUUUGCCAGGGUCACCGGUUAAUAUAGCAAGUGAGCCGCCAUGCAAUGUAAGCUUCCCCCAAUGUUCACUUGGAAUAUCUGGGACUUGCAUCUCCCCAAACUGUUCGCUGCCCAUGUCAAAAGAGUGAAUCGUGUAGAUGUCAUCAAGGCCCAUAGAAAGCCCAUAAUAAACCCCGUUGAGAUAAGUGGCGUCAAGGGGUGCAGAUAAGGUAGAACUGGGAGGGAAUUCAGGAGUAAGGUGUUUCCAUGAAUUGUUGCAUGAGGAAUAGACAUAGGCAUAGACACGAUUAUUAGCACCUUGUCCCGGUUCAUCCCAGAACACUCGAAUCCAUACAACCUUAAAAUCUUGAGUCAACAGGUCAAAUCCCAAUCCGAACUGAUGAUCAUGGUUCGGGAAAAAGGCCUCAAUCUCAAUAGGCGCAGGAGGCAGAGACCUGAACUCUCUAGUGGCAGGAUUCCACAAACCCAAGCAGAUAUCGUCUCCAAACUUCUUCUGCACUAAGAAUAAGCGAUCAACUGGACCAGCAAGACACGUGAAAUCAGUGAUCCUCGGAAGCUGAAGGAGAGUUUUUUGUUCAGGGGUCACACCUGGAACAAUUUCUUCAGGGAGCAAGGAGAAUACAACAGACCUUACGAUGGGGAGUACUUCACAUGCUACUUUCAAGUUGCAAACAAGGAGACGGGCACAAUUGUUCUUGUGAUGAAAAUGUUUUUCUAUGAAACUCGAACUUUUGAUGAGAGCAUACUAGUGCUUGCACACACAUUUGAAACACAAGAGUGAUUCCACUGGCAAUCUCAAUAGAAUAUCAACUACUAGAUCUUUUGGUAAAGGACGGCGACCAUCCAUACUAGUGGAAAUAUAAGUAAAAUGAGACAACUUACAAACAUAUUGAAAGAGAACAGAUCUAGAAACAUGCUUUAAUAGAACACGCAGUGCAACGAAGAAGAUCAAGCAGCAUCAUUACCAUGUGAAACAAAAAAGGGGAAGUUGCACAUUUGAUCACUCAGCCACAAAUAUUUACAUCAGCAAGCCAAUACACAUAUAUUAUGGGUAUACAUAUUUUUAAAAAUAUUUUGACAAUUUCUUGUAGAUCAAUUUGGGAGAAAAGAUCCAAAAUAGUUCCUCAUGUUUGGCUUCAGACUCAAAGGAUGGAGUAAUAAGUACUUAUUCAUUGUUAAUUAGAGUUCUCGGGUUUGAGUCUUUUUGGCUAUGAAGUCAUCUGUGUUAGGGAGCGCUUUACCCACAAUGUGAGAUUAUUCAGCACAAAUUCAAAUUUAGUGGGGGAUCUAAUAUGGAUACCAAACACCGAGUGGAAAACCAAAAAUAAAAAUAAAAAUGACCUUAGGGGUCAUUUGAUAGGUGGAUAAAGCUACAUUUAAUACAUGAAUAACAAAGUUAUUUAUGUAUUUAAUUUAUAUAAUAUUUUGUUUGUAAAAUGUUGUAUAAAAGUUAUUCGUGUAUUAACAAAGAUGUUUAUCUCUACGAUAUGUUCCCGCAGGAGAAAGAGUUUGUUAUUUGAAGAGGGGGGGGGGGUAUUUGGAGUCUUUUAGCCACAGUUCGAAGCCCUGGCGUAUCUCUUUUAGCCACGGUUCAAGGCCCCAACAUAUUUUUUUGGCACGGUUCGAGGCCCCAACAUAUCUCUAUUCGCCUUGGUUUGAAUCCUAACAUGUGGUUCAUUUGGGUUCUUCGGGUGCCUUCGCCAUAAUUCAAGUCUGGAGUCGGCCAUUUCAGUUCUUGAAAGCUUUUAAUCUAGCUAAUGUUAUUCAUAGUACUUCCGUGUACUUAUCGGACUUAUGUGAGUCCAAACUUGUUUGAGUUAUAUAUUUACUUUCUAAUUGUGCACGAGUAUACAUACUUUCUGGGCUUAUAGAGGUCCAAUUAGGUUAUAGAUUAUUGCUUUACUUUACUACUUUGUUCUUUUUAGACUCGUGAGCUAUAUAGUUAGACUUUCCGUUAUUGCUUUGUUCAUUUGACCUCUAAUUAUUGUUACUUUCAUAUUCUUCAUAUUGUUUUUACUUUCCAAGCUCAGUCGACCUAUGAUGCCUACUGGGCACCUGUUGUUCUGAUAUUCAUGCUACACUCCACAUCUGCUUUCUUGAUGUAGAUUUGAGCGCCUGCCGACAACAGUGAUUCGAGCCUAAGUAAUGCGGAGAUCUUCUGAGAUGAAGGGUGACCUAAUGGCGUCCUAGUUCGACUUAUCUCCAUAUGUAUAUAAUUUUUUCCUAUCUUUUGUAUUCGAGACAAGUUUAUUAAGUUAGUCAAUAGCAUAGGCUCGAAACUAUGACUAGAACAUUGAGUGCAUGACAUGCACAUCUUACUCCUUAUUUUCCUUAUUCGUACCUAUUUUUGUUCAUACUUUCUAAAUUUCACUAGUACAUUAUCCCUUGUUAAGGAAAAUUAUGUAUCCAGAAUAGUAAAUGGUCUGAUCCACUUAAGAGUGAAGGCUAGUUCAUUGAUUGAUACAUCUAAAUCACAUUAAAUAAUAUAUAUUACAUUUUUGAACUGUUAAACUAGAAACAAGAUUUAGGAUUUUUCAAGUGGACCAAAAUACAGAUAUUGAUGCAGAGUACUUAAAGUCUGUUGCUUGCCGAUACUCUAAAAGUAGUGUAUUUUUGGAGAAUCUAACAUGAGUGGAGAGUACAUGCGCAACUUAGCUUAAAAUGUGUUGGUCCAAAAGGAAUGCCCCUUGAUACCAUAAACAAAAAAUACCAUGUUUGCUUUUUAUUCAAUAAUAGUACAAAGAUGACUGAUCCAAACAAUUUUAAGCUCAAACACAAUGUUAUAAGGUAAGAAAAGAACUAAUGUCACAAUAUUACAGGUAAAUCGUUUUUUUUCUUCUUCCUGUUUUUCAAUUUUUAUCAGUAUAAUAUUAUGUAUUACAAAUCUUUAAGAUCCUCAUCCAUUGGUAUGGUAUAGAAGAAGUGUUCAAUUUGCUCGACUGCAUUAUCCUCACCCUGAGUCUCGUUUCCUCUCUUUAUUGGAGCUAGGCUCUCCUUGUAAUUGAAAACCCAACAGCCAGCCAUGUUAAGGUCCAGCUGAAAUCCAAGAUCUGUAACUUGUCUUGUUUUAGGGUCAUAUAGCACCAGCUGUGAAGUUUCUGUGAUCUCGAAAACCAUCUUAUCGUUAUCCCAGAUGUUGCGAGGCCAAUGAGCAUCUAUAUGAGGUUGUACAGUUAGAACUUUGGACCAAAUUCCCUCUUGUUUCAAUACCCACACAUCAUAUAUGGAUGUCAUAGGUUUGCCUGGGUCACCGGUUAAUAAAGCAAGUGAGUUGCCACGCAGUGUAAGCGUCCCCCAAUGUUCACUUGGAAUAGCUGGGACUUGCGUCUCCCCAAACUGCUCGCUGUCCAUGUCAAAAGUGCGAAUCGUGUAGAUCUCAUCAAGGCCCGUACAAAGCCAAUAAUAAACACCGUUGAGAUAAGUGGCGUCAAGGGGUGCAGAUAAGGUAGAACUGGAAGGGAAUUCAGGAGUAAGGUGUUUCCAUGAAUUGUUGCAUGAGGAAUAGACACAGGCAUAGACACGAUUAUUAGCACCUUGUCCCAGUUCAUCCCAGAACACUCGAAUCCAUACGACCUUAUAAUCUAGAGUCAACAG
rnacentral:lncRNA from 1 species